rnacentral:rRNA from 1 species
UCCUAAGUAUAAGCCAAUUAUACCCGGGAAACCUGGGAAUGGCCCCAUUAAAUCAGUUAUCGUUUAUUUGAAAGUACCCUUACUACUUGGAUACCCGUGGUAAUUCUAGAGCUAAUACAUGCAAAAAACCCCGACUUCGGAAGGGGUGUAUUUAUUAGAUAAAAAACCAAUGCCCUUCGGGGCUCCUUGGUGAUUCAUAAUAACUUAACGGAUCGCAUGGCCUUGCGCCGGCGACGGUUCAUUCAAAUUUCUGCCCUAUCAACUUUCGAUGGUAAGGUAUUGGCUUACCAUGGUUUCAACGGGUAACGGAUUUUUAGGGAAAGAUCCCGGAGAGGGAGCCUGAGAAACGGCUACCACAUCCAAGGAAGGCAGCAGGCGCGCAAAUUACCCAAUCCCGACACGGGGAGGUAGUGACAAUAAAUACUGAUACAGGGCUCUUUUGGGUCUUGUAAUCGGAAUGAGUACAAUUUAAAUACCUUAACGAGGAACAAUUGGAGGGCAAGUCUGGUGCCAGCAGCCGCGGUAAUUCCAGCUCCAAUAGCGUAUAUUAAAGUUGUUGCAGUUAAAAAGCUCGUAGUUGAACCUUGGGCCUGGCUGGCCGGUCCGCCUCACCGCGUGUACUGGUCCGGCCGGGCCUUUCCUUCUGGAGAACCGCAUGCCCUUCACUGGGUGUGUCGGGGAACCAGGACUUUUACUUUGAGAAAAUUAGAGUGUUCAAAGCAGGCCUUUGCUCGAAUACGUUAGCAUGGAAUAAUAGAAUAGGACGUGCGGUCCUAUUUUGUUGGUUUCUAGAACCGCCGUAAUGAUUAAUAGGGAUAGUCGGGGGCGUCAGUAUUCAAUUGUCAGAGGUGAAAUUCUUGGAUCUAUUGAAGACUAACUACUGCGAAAGCAUUCGCCAAGGAUGUUUUCAUUAAUCAGUGAACGAAAGUUAGGGGAUCGAAGACGAUCAGAUACCGUCGUAGUCUUAACCGUAAACUAUGCCGACUAGGGAUCGGGCGAUGUUUCUAUCUUGACUCGCUCGGCACCUUACGAGAAAUCAU